GACGAACGCUGGCGGCGUGCCUAAUACAUGCAAGUAGAACGCUGAAGGAGGAGCUUGCUCUUCUGGAUGAGUUGCGAACGGGUGAGUAACGCGUAGGUAACCUGCCUGGUAGCGGGGGAUAACUAUUGGAAACGAUAGCUAAUACCGCAUAAGAGUAGAUGUUGCAUGACAUUUGCUUAAAAGGUGCAAUUGCAUCACUACCAGAUGGACCUGCGUUGUAUUAGCUAGUUGGUGGGGUAACGGCUCACCAAGGCGACGAUACAUAGCCGACCUGAGAGGGUGAUCGGCCACACUGGGACUGAGACACGGCCCAGACUCCUACGGGAGGCAGCAGUAGGGAAUCUUCGGCAAUGGACGGAAGUCUGACCGAGCAACGCCGCGUGAGUGAAGAAGGUUUUCGGAUCGUAAAGCUCUGUUGUAAGAGAAGAACGAGUGUGAGAGUGGAAAGUUCACACUGUGACGGUAUCUUACCAGAAAGGGACGGCUAACUAUGUGCCAGCAGCCGCGGUAAUACGUAGGUCCCGAGCGUUGUCCGGAUUUAUUGGGCGUAAAGCGAGCGCAGGCGGUUAGAUAAGUCUGAAGUUAAAGGCUGUGGCUUAACCAUAGUACGCUUUGGAAACUGUUUAACUUGAGUGCAAGAGGGGAGAGUGGAAUUCCAUGUGUAGCGGUGAAAUGCGUAGAUAUAUGGAGGAACACCGGUGGCGAAAGCGGCUCUCUGGCUUGUAACUGACGCUGAGGCUCGAAAGCGUGGGGAGCAAACAGG
rnacentral:rRNA from 1 species